rnacentral:lncRNA from 1 species
AAUAAGAAUAAGAAUAAGAAUAAGAAUUUUAUUAGUAUAAAAUCCAAACAAUAGGAUUGUUACUAAAAUAUACAACAAAAACAAACAAACAGACAGUGGCAUAUUAAAUACAAAACGAUAGUCAUUAAACACUACAAACAUGUAGCAUUGAAAGAAAAACAAAAACAUAGAUUAUUAGUAUUAAUUAUAAUACUAUUUUUGACAGCAUGCCUCCUCUUUAAAAUUAUCAAUUAAAAUAUUAUGCUUAUGUUACAAAAAAUAUGUUAUAAUAUAUA